AGAGUUUGAUCAUGGCUCAGGAUAAACGCUAGCGGCAGGCCUAAUACAUGCAAGUCGAACGGGUAGCCUUCGGGCUACUAGUGGCGCACGGGUGCGUAACGCGUAACCAACCUGCCCAGAACUGGGGGAUAGCCCGCCGAAAGGCGGAUUAAUACCGCAUACGCCUACUGCCUGGCAUCAGGGGGUAGGUAAAGAUUUAUUGGUUCUGGAUGGGGUUGCGUAGCAUUAGCUAGAUGGCGGGGUAAAGGCCCACCAUGGCGACGAUGCUUAGGGGACCUGAGAGGGUGAUCCCCCACACUGGCACUGAGAUACGGGCCAGACUCCUACGGGAGGCAGCAGUAGGGAAUAUUGGGCAAUGGGCGAGAGCCUGACCCAGCCAUGCCGCGUGCCGGAUGAAGGCCUUCUGGGUUGUAAACGGCUUUUCUUAGGGAAGAAAAAGCCCAUGCGUGGGACACUGACGGUACCUAAGGAAGAAGCACCGGCUAACUCCGUGCCAGCAGCCGCGGUAAUACGGAGGGUGCAAGCGUUGUCCGGAUUUAUUGGGUUUAAAGGGUGCGUAGGUGGCCUGUUAAGUCCGGGGUGAAAGCCCACAGCUCAACUGUGGAACUGCCCUGGAUACUGGCGGGCUUGAGUCCAGACGAGGUUGGCGGAAUGGAAGCUGUAGCGGUGAAAUGCAUAGAUAGCUUCCAGAACCCCGAUUGCGUAGGCAGCUGACUAGGCUGGUACUGACACUGAGGCACGAAAGCGUGGGGAGCGAACAGGAUUAGAUACCCCCGUAGUCC
rnacentral:rRNA from 1 species